AUUGAACGCUGGCGGCAGGCCUAACACAUGCAAGUCGAACGAGUGGCGGACGGGUGAGUAAUGUCUGGGGAACUGCCCGAUUGAGGGGGAUAACUACUGGAAACGGUAGCUAAUACCGCAUACCAUCGGAUGUGCCCAGAUGGGAUUAGCUAGUAGGUGGGGUAAAGGCUCACCUAGGCGAUGAUCCCUAGCUGGUCUGAGAGGAUGACCAGCCACACUGGGACGGAGACACGGCCCAGACUCCUACGGGAGGCAGCAGUGGGGAAUAUUGCACAAUGGGCGCAAGCCUGAUGCAGCCAUGCCGCGUGUAUGAAGAAGGCCUUCGGGUUGUAAAGUACUUUCAGCGGGGAGGCGUUACUCGCAGAAGAAGUACCGGCUAACUCCGUGCCAGCAGCCGCGGUAAUAC
rnacentral:rRNA from 1 species